rnacentral:lncRNA from 1 species
UCCAACAGUUAUUUUAUUAGGAUGUCAGCCCUGGGUCCAGAGUGAGAGAUAGGGACAGGGGACAGCCCAGCGAGGCUGGGUCGGGGGUCACCCCAGGAUGUUCCAACCACAGGGGCAGCAUCUCCUCCACUCCACAUGCUGGCCAAGGGCACAGAGCUGCCGUAUCGCCUGCCAAGGGGGUGGCUCAAUGCUGCUGCCCUGGUCCUGUAUGGGCCCGGGGUGCCGAGAACAGACAGCAAGCCUCAGGCGCCGGUCCUUUGAGCUUUCUUGAUUUCCUCAGAGAGCGCCUCCUUCAGCUCUGCGUAGGCCUGGUCCAGGCUGUCGUUAAUGAUGACCACAUCAAACAGGCCGGGCUCCUUGCUGCUCUCCAUGUCGGCCUGGGCAGCAGCCAGCCGCUUCACCAGGCUCUCCUCGGUUUCAGUGUUGCGCUGCCGCAGCCGCUGCUCCAGCACGUGCAGUGAAGGCGGCUGCACAGAGAUGUAGAUGGGCCGCAGAUCGGUGGCCUUGAUGUUCCGCACACCCUGCAGGUCCACGUCCAGCACACAGAUGCGGUUCAUGGCCUGCACGGCCUGCACCGCCACCUUGCUCGUGCCAUACAGGUUCCCCGAGAACUCGGCAUGCUCGAUGAAGUCGCCGGCUGCUAUGUCACGCUGCAUCACCUCCCUGGUUACAAAGUAGUAAUCUUUGCCGUUCUCCUCGCCGGGCCUCGGGUUCCUCGUGGUAUGGGACACGCUGAAGCCAAAGAUGCCGCUGUGCUCCUGGAGCAGCCUCUUCAGCAGGGUGCUCUUCCCAGCUCCCGAAGGCCCGCUCAGCACCACAGGCCUGGGGCCCGACAUGCCUGUUUGCUGAGGUGCAGCCUCUGUAGUCAGCCUGGGGUGGGUCUGUCUGCUGGACUGAGAGCUGGGGGUGCUGAGUCCCUAAUCCCCACUACGCCUGCUUCUGGCCCCACCCUU